ensembl:lncRNA PCBP1-AS1 PCBP1 antisense RNA 1
GAGGCCUGCGGAGCGGGUGCGCGCGGGCGGGCACGUGGGGCCCUUUCGUCCCCGGCGUCCGGGCGCCCUGCAUGGAUCCCCCACCCCAGCUCCUGCUCCCCGGCGGCGGCCGGUGGGCAGAAAGACCGAAACCCACUCACGGCCGCCUGCCGAAUCGCGGCUCUGCUGUUUGUGGGGCGUGCUAGAAACGUGGUCCUAAAAAGAAUGGCGUCCAUUUACAUAAUGCUUUGUUUGCGUUUCGCAAGUUUCUUUCGGUUAAAGCCACAGAAACCCCACCUCCUGCCCUUGUGUCGUUUCCACCGCGGCACCCUUUUCCGACAUUAGAAACAAUAGUGUACGCCUGUGGAGGCCUCGUUUGUUCAGGGGCUGCCGGCCAGGGCUUCAGGACGUUUCUGCGGCUUUCCCCGCGCGGCCUGGGCUCCCGCGGCUGCUUUUCGGGCCCAUGGGCGCAGCCACUGCGCCAGGCUCAAGGGGGGCGGCCCCGUCAGGGCCCGCCAUCUUGGAAGGCCUUUUUUGCCGGUUCUUCCCGCUGAGGAAGUGUCGCUCAAGACGCUGGCCUAUGAGUUGUGAUUUCUGCCUUUUCCCCUUCCUCCUUGGGCUAAGCCAGACCAGAAAGGGCCCCGUGCGCAACGUGCUUCACAAUCUCUCAGGGAAAGCGGCUAACGUGGCGCUACUCCGCCUCCCCUGUUCCUUACCCUUGGGGCGGCCGCCAUGUUUCCUGAACACAAAAUGGCGACACGUGGUUAGCAUUCGUCGCCAACGAGAAAUUGGGGUCGGCCCGAAAGCUCUAGAAUGCACCCCUCUUCCUCCCCGGGGCCUUCCACCUCCGCGAGUUUUAUGACUUAAAAAAGCCCACAGGCUGGUCUGAAGGUCGGAGGCCUAAUUUUAACGCGUUUUCCUCCCUUUAAUUUGAAACGGGAACGCGAAUGACUGUAAAAUGUGGGCACAAUAUUUAAUCUCUCGCCUUUUUAAAGCUUAAUAGUGGAUAAUAGGGGGGCAGUAUCAAGGGAUAAUUUGGGUCCCCACAGUACCAAAGCAUUUAGAAACCUCUGUUUAAUUUAAGGAAUGAGAUAAGUUACUGCUUUUCUAGACUUCCUAGCAUGGGCUGUUGUGCUGGAGAGAACGAGAGCUACGAAGAGACUACAGUGCCUCUGACUUUUUCAUAGGACAGUUGGCCGGUGAAUCUUAUUAAUAGUUUACCACAAUUAAGUGUUCAUUUUUAGUCUAGAAGGGACAGGCGUUUAUUGUGCAUUGGCCAGUGCCAGCACAUCCGAUGCAAGGCAGUUCACCGUAUUCUAUCUUUAAUUUUUACCAUGGUCCUCUGAGGUAGGUGUUCUUAUCUCUCUCUCUCUCUCUCUCUUUUAAACAGAGGAAGACAAACAUAAAGAUGAAGUGCUUAAUUCAAGGUCACACAAUGUCGGGGAUGGACCUCCAGAUUUCCUUACUGACCUGCAUUAUCUUGUGGAUACCUGAGUGAAUUCCACACCACCCAUUUUAUAGAUGAAACCACUGAGACAUGGAGCAAUUGACUGAGUAGUCACUGCCCCACCCCUGCCUGGAGCCUCACACAUGACUCGCCUCCUCUCAGUGACCACAGGUGAGACGUGGUCUUGUAACACAGUGGUUAAGAAUGUGACUUUGGAGCCAGCCUGCUAGGGGCUGAAUUCUGACUCAGCCAUUUACUAACUGUGUGACCUUAGGGAGGAGGACCUGGUUGAUAGAAGAAUUUAUCUCGUAGUCUUAACAUCCACUGUAAUUCCAAACUUUGAGGACGAUAGAGAUCAGUGGGCUUUGACUGCCCAGCAUGCAGUCUCCAUUCUUAGGUGGGUUCCCAAGCCUGUAAAAUGUAAGCCUUAUGCUGCUGAGGGCCAUCUUGCCACCCUGAGGGAAACGCUGCCUGAGAAUGAAACAAGCAUAAGUAAAAGCUGAGCUGUGAGAUGGAGCAAGAUGAAGGCCACAUGACAUCUUUGGAGCACCUGGAUCUAACUGUGCCUUAAGCUAGUCUAACCCUGAACAUUUCAUCAUUUCAUUGACAUGAGCCCAGGUUUUCUUUUUUUUUGGAUGGAGUCUUGCUCUGUCGCCCAGGCUGGAGUGCAGUAGCUCAAUCUCGGCUCACUGCAAGCUCCACCUCCCGGGUUCACGCCAUUCUCCUGCCUUAGCCUCCCAAGUAGCUGGGACAACAGGCGCCCACCACCACUCCCAGCUAAUUUUUUGUAUUUUUAGUAGAGACGGGGUUUUACCAUGUUAGCCGGGAUGGUCUUGAUCUCCUGACCUCAUGAUCCGCCCGCCUCGGCCUCCCAAAGUGCUGGGAUUACAGGUGUGAGCCACUGCACCCAGCCCUCAGGUUUUCCCUUUUUUUACCCCUCCUUUUGAAAAUUUGAUGUGGAAUUUUGCCACCUGCAGCCAGAAGAGUUUUAACUAAUCAGUGCCAUAAAUUUUAUAUAGUUCUCCUUGCAAAAUGUGGAUCAGCCUUUCUCAGCAAAUCCUUUGUCAUAAAGUGCUGAAUUGUAAGUUUGUCAUGAGAAUCACAUGAGAUCAUGCAUGUGAAGAACCUGGCAUUAUCCUCCUCAUAGAAAAAAACCAGUAAAUAUUAACUACAGGAAGCAAGGAAGGAGUGGGGUGAGGGGAAGAAGAAGGGGUACUGAUUUAAAAGAACCCUGGAGUCCUAAGGAUAAUCUAGGAACCCUCAGACCCAAUCCGAUACCCCUAUUCUAAAUGCUCCUAGUGCCCUGUACCUUCCCCUCAUAAGCCUUCAUUAUCAUUGUAAUGAUAUGUUUAUGUAAUAUUUUGAUUAAUGUCUCUCCUUCACUGACCUAGCAGUUCUAGCAGGGCAGUGAUUUUGCUGUGUUGCAUCCCCAGCACCUAGUCUGGUAUGUGGCAUUCAGCAUAUGUUUAUUGAAUGAAUGGCCAUGUGGUUAUUCAGAUCCUCCUUGAUUAUUGGGGUUAGGAUUGUGGCAGAAGUGGCAAAAUCAGGGAGAGUAGUCCCUGUCCCCUCUGUAUCUUAUACACUGCCCACACUCCCAACACACAUACACAUACAGAGAAUUUUGUCUCAAUUAGAUAAUUAACUUCUGCUUGGUUGUAAACCAAACCACUGGUUCUUAAACUUUCAUUGGAUCAUUUUAUUGAAGAAUUAAAUAGUGUGGUUCUGGCCUAAUGUCUGGAAAGCCUUGCAGAGGAGUGGAUUAGGUCUUUGUGAUAAACAGGCAGCCUUCCCUGCUCCUGUGUCUUUAUAAAAUCUAUUUAACUGGAGUAGUCCACCCUCCCUCAGGCUCUUACAGGAAUAUGUUGGAGGCUGUAGGAAGGUGGGAAACCGAGAGGGAAAGGACUGGGCCGCUGGAGACUUCACUCAUUCCCUAGCAAGAAACAAAAGCAGUAAAAGGUGGCCCGAGGACAACCUGAAGCUCACUCCUUCAGCACUUUUGGCUGGAGGUCACUUGUUGGAGCCCCACUCAGAGCUCAGCACACCACCCCACCAGCAGCCUCCUCCUCCCAGCUGAGGCUGCAUUUCAUCCCUUCCCCCAGCCUGCUUUCCCUGAGAUAGGGGAGUGUUUCCCAGGGCCCAUGUGACUUCCACUGGCAAGUGACGAUUACCAAUGGUUUACUAGUCAGUGAAACUACCAAAGGCUUUUGUGCUGUAGUAAUCCUUUUCCUGUUUAAAACUCUGGGGAUUUUCUAAUGUUGCCAAUAGUUUUUCAAGUCAGCAAUUACUGUGUGGAUUAUGUAAUGGCUCGGUAUUA